GAGACGAGUGGCGAACUGGUGAGUAACACGUGCUUAACCUGCCCUUGAAGUAGGGGAUAACACUUGGAAACAGGUGCUAAUACCGUAUAACAACCAAAACCACCUGGUUUUGGUUUAAAAGAUGGCUUCGGCUAUCACUUUAGGAUGGACCCGCGGCGUAUUAGCUUGUUGGUAAGGUAACGGCCUACCAAGGCAAUGAUACGUAGCCGACCUGAGAGGGUAAUCGGCCACAUUGGGACUGAGACACGGCCCAAACUCCUACGGGAGGCAGCAGUAGGGAAUCUUCCACAAUGGACGAAAGUCUGAUGGAGCAACGCCGCGUGAGUGAUGAAGGGUUUCGGCUCGUAAAACUCUGUUGUUGGAGAAGAACAGGUGUGAGAGUAACUGUUCACAUCUUGACGGUAUCCAACCAGAAAGCCACGGCUAACUACGUGCCAGCAGCCGCGGUAAUACGUAGGUGGCAAGCGUUGUCCGGAUUUAUUGGGCGUAAAGCGAGCGCAGGCGGUUUCUUAGGUCUGAUGUGAAAGCCUUCGGCUUAACCGGAGAAGUGCAUCGGAAACCAGGAGACUUGAGUGCAGAAGAGGACAGUGGAACUCCAUGUGUAGCGGUGAAAUGCGUAGAUAUAUGGAAGAACACCAGUGGCGAAGGCGGCUGUCUGGUCUGUAACUGACGCUGAGGCUCGAAAGCAUGGGUAGCGAACAGGAUUAGAUACCCUGGUAGUCCAUGCCGUAAACGAUGAGUGCUAAGUGUUGGAGGGUUUCCGCCCUUCAGUACUGCAGCUAACGCAUUAAGCACUCCGCC
rnacentral:rRNA from 1 species